CAAAGGUUGGUUUUGCCAGUAUGGAUCCUACAUCCAACAGUGACCAACAGUAGAUGCCUACAGAAGGAUAUGAGACCACCAAGUACAACCAAAAAGAAGAUUAGGAAAUCUGAAAAUGUGGGAGCAGAAUAACAAUCCAGCAAAGAAAGGAGGAUUCCUGCUGCUUUCCAGUAGUGCUGCAUCCCAAGGUGGCUUAAAGGAAGAGGUUCAUCAAGGAGGGGAAGCAACUAAGGUGAGACAAGAGGAAAAAGACUUCAUCACCCAGUGCAAAUCUGUUCAGUCAACUCCAGCCAACAUGCCUACCUCAUUGUAAGAGAAAAUGGGGGGAGAAAUAUGGUGAAUAGAUUCUGGAUUAUGUGUUGUGAUACUAUAA